rnacentral:lncRNA from 1 species
AAAGCAUAUAUAUAUUAUUUCCAAUCAUCAUUUGAAAAUAAAACUAGUACAUCCUCAGUUUUCCUUUAGAAUUUCAAAGCAUAAAUUCUCUAGGAGGUAAAUGAGCAGGAAAAUGCAUUUUAUUCCUUUGAAACUCUUUCAUCUGGGUUCACAAUCACGAUACAUGGAGUUUGACCAUCAAAUCUCGGUCUCUUAUCCGCUUUAGCCAGCACUAAUAAUUAUCUCACUUCUUUUCACACUUACAAGUAUAAUAAUAAUUCAAAUUCGUCCAAUCUUUCACUACUAAUCUCUCAUCCCAUAUUUUCCUUCAAUAUAACAUCAACUAAUUCCUCAAUUUUUUUUUUAUUUCUACAAGUCCCAAGUAAGAAACUCUCAAGUAACCAAUUUCUUUAACCCGUAGGAUACAAUAGACCCUCUAGUUCACAUAAUAUUCAAAUUAAUCCCACAGUCAGCCAUCCUAAAUUUUAAACCUAGGAUACACUACAAGAUCUAAAGCCUAUGCUCUGAUACCAACUGUGACGCCCCCACU